UACGAAGGGGGCUAGCGUUGCUCGGAAUCACUGGGCGUAAAGCGCACGUAGGCGGAUUGCUAAGUCAGGGGUGAAAUCCUGGAGCUCAACUCCAGAACUGCCUUUGAUACUGAAGAUCUUGAGUUCGGGAGAGGUGAGUGGAACUGCGAGUGUAGAGGUGAAAUUCGUAGAUAUUCGCAAGAACACCAGUGGCGAAGGCGGCUCACUGGCCCGAUACUGACGCUGAGGCGCGAAAGCCAGGGGAGCAAACGGG
rnacentral:rRNA from 1 species